GACGAACGCUGGCGGCGUGCUUAACACGUGCAAGUCGAACGGAAAGGCCCUGCUUUUGCGGGGUGCUCGUGUGGCGAACGGGUGAGUAACACGUGAGUAACCUGCCCUUGUCUUUGGGAUAACUUCAGGAAACUGGGGCUAAUACCGGAUAGGAUCUCCUGCUCCAUGGUGGGGGUUGGAAAGUUUCGGCGGUUGGGGAUGUACUCGCGGCUUAUCAGCUUGUUGGUGGGGUAGUUGCUUACCAAGGCUAUGACGGGUAGCCGGCCUGAGAGGGUGACCGGCCACAUUGGGACUGAGAUACGGACCAGACUCCUACGGGAGGCAGCAGUGGGGAAUAUUGCACAGUGGGCGGAAGUCUGAUGCAGCAGCGCCGCGUGCGGGAUGACGGCCUUCGGGUUGUAAACCGAUUUCGCCUGUGACGAAGAGUGAGUGACGGUAAUGGGUAAAGAAGCACCGGCUAACUACGUG
rnacentral:rRNA from 1 species